rnacentral:rRNA from 2 species
CUAUCAGCUUUGGAUGGUAGGAUAUGGGCCUACCAUGGCAUUAACGGGUAACGGGGAAUUAGGGUUUGAUUCCGGAGAGGGAGCCAUAGAAACGGCUACCACAUCCAAGGAAGGCAGCAGGCGCGUAAAUUACCCAAUCCUGACGCAGGGAGGUAGUGACAAUAAAUAACAAUGCUUGGCUCUUCGAGUCGUGCAAUUGGAAUGAGAACAAUUUAAAUCCCUUAACGAGGAUCAAUUGGAGGGCAAGUCUGGUGCCAGCAGCCGCGGUAAUUCCAGCUCCAAUAGCGUAUAUUAAAGUUGUUGCAGUUAAAAAGCUCGUAGUUGGAUUUCUGUUUUGAGCGUCCGGUCCUUUUUCUUUGAAAUUGGUACUAAGGAUGUUUGAGACAUUUUUGUGAGGAUGUUUUUCUGCCAUUAAGUUGGUGGUUGAAUAGACUUGCAUCGUUUACUGUGAAAAAAUUAGAGUGUUUAAAGCAGGCGUUUGCUCAUUGAAUACAUUAGCAUGGAAUAAUAAGAUACGACCUUGGUGGUCUAUUUUGUUGGUUUG